GGGAAACGCAAAUUUUACCACUGAAACAUCAUCACCCACUUAUUUUCAAUCUUCUUCUACUACUUGUUUCUUCGUUUGGGCAUUUUAUCAAACAGAUAGCGAGCAACAGAAACUGCAAAGGGAGUCGAGCUAGAAGAAAGGGCAAUUUGUAUAAGCAAUGGCCGCCCUGCAAGUACCCACUAGAAUUCCAGCUAAUUUAGCCCCCAAUGGUGGCCUCAGACAGGCACCAAAUGGUUUAGCCCUAAAAUCUUCAUUUUUUUCUCCAUCAAUUCAUCUCUUGCUCCCUCCUCCAUCAUUCUCUAGAGCAGCUCCUGCUACUGCCCCGAAAAUCUCCAUGCGCGUUACCUCCAAGCAAGCCUAUAUUUGCCGGGAUUGCGGGUAUAUUUACAAUGACAAAACUCCUUUUGAGAAAUUACCUGACAAAUACUUCUGCCCAGUAUGUGGAGCUCCAAAAAGAAGAUUCAGGGCGUAUGAACCUAAAGUAACCAAAGAUGCUAAUUCCACUGAUGUUCGUAAGGCCCGGAAAGAACAGUUAAAGAGAGAUGAGGCUGUUGGGAACAUACUGCCUAUUGCUAUUGGAGUUGGAGUUGUUGCACUUGCUGCUUUAUACUUCUAUGUCAACAACACUUCCUAGAUUCAAGUGGACACAAUAACAAUGUCAUCAUCUUCUGUUUAACACAUCAAGGAGAUUGUUAAAUUUUGUAUUGGAGUUCUUCUAUGUAUAAUUGUUUAUUCUAUCCAUUCAUUCUAUAUAUUCCACUUCUAUAGUGAUGGAAAUAUGAAAUUGCUAAUUUGUCUUUGUUUAAACAAACUGUUGUAUGCAAAAUAAGACCUGAAAAGUAUAGAGUCUGA
rnacentral:misc_RNA from 1 species